rnacentral:rRNA from 1 species
CAUGCCGUAAACGAUGAAUGCUAGGUGUUGGAGGGUUUCCGCCCUUCAGUGCCGCAGCUAACGCAUUAAGCAUUCCGCCUGGGGAGUACGACCGCAAGGUUGAAACUCAAAGGAAUUGACGGGGGCCCGCACAAGCGGUGGAGCAUGUGGUUUAAUUCGAAGCAACGCGAAGAACCUUACCAGGUCUUGACAUCCCGAUGACCGCUCUAGAGAUAGAGUUUUCCCUUCGGGGACAUUGGUGACAGGUGG